UCUGUAUGUCCUGUACACACAGCCGUAAUGUCCCACACAGCCUCUGAUAUGUGCAUCUGUGUUUUGCGGACAAAGCGUGACAAAUCGAUCAAAGUAAAGAUCAGGUGUCACACUAAAAUGUACUUUGUGCUCAGUGCAGAAUAGUGCAGAACUGUGGUCCAACUGUUACACUUGGAGACAUUUUUUUUUUUUUAGGAACAAAC